AAAUUCAACUUACCUGGCUGUCGUUUGGGGUAGCUCACGAAUUACCCUGGCGUAGUUCGGAGCAGAGCAUUGCACUCAGCUGACUGUGAUGAGCUAUAGACUUUCCACAUGGAAGGUGCUAACAGCAAAAUUUUUGCCCGUGGCAUAUUUCAUCUUAUGAGUAUGCCAU
rnacentral:snRNA from 1 species